rnacentral:lncRNA from 1 species
GGCAUCACAUGUCUUACCCCACUUCGGUGCUUCCCUACCAAGCCCAACCCGUGUACAACCUUCUCAACCUCAGUCCAGGGGAUGAGAUGUACCAUAUUUCUUAAUGUAUUUGCUUCAUAACCAGAAUCUGAAUAAAAAUAACGGAACUUGAAUAUAAAGAAGAAUAAGGAUUGGAUUUUAGAGUACUAGGGUUGUUGCUGCCAACACCUAUGCCUG